rnacentral:lncRNA from 1 species
UCUGAUCACAGCUUUAAACUGAGUAAACAAGGAGAACAUCACACAGAUGGUAUUAGCAGAGAUCUGAGGGUAGAAUGUUCGCUGUAGUUAUCUAAAACGACCACAGGGUGGCAGUAGAAGAUGCCUAAAAGUACCGGUACUCUAUCAUGAAAAUGAUGAUGUGAGAACAAUGAUGAUGGUGAUGAUGAUGAUUUGGUGGGAGGCUUGGCCAAAUCUGUAUAUUUAAUAGGAUUUUUUUUUGUAUUUGUAGUUUUGUUUUAUGGACUGGAGUUGCAAGUAUUGCACUGUGUUUGUUAUGUCUGUUUGUUGAUAAUUUUUAUGUUAUGUGAAGAAAAAAAUGAGAUUGAUGAUAAUGACCAUAGAUGGCUGAAGUCCUCUCCUUCCCCUCUCCUCCUCCUCGUCCCUUCCCAGCUCAGACUCCUUGCCACCCCUCCUCUCUCCCUCCUGUCCUUCCCCCACUGUCUCCAGUCCCCUACACAAACUGGAACAGUACUGUGAUGUUCUGGAGGAGCUGGGAGGGCUAAACCACGCCUAUGACUCCUUCCUCUCCGUCCUUAGACACGCCCAGCGCCACGGUGAGGACCUCCGGGCCAGCGACCUCAUCGUCGGGUGUCCGGUCCCGGUGGAGGAGCGUGGAGAGCUGGUGAGUCAGGUGUGUGGGAGGACCAGGAGGAAGAAGACCGGGGUGUGUUCCUCUAUCAACCCCUCAUCGUCUUCACCAAGCAGAAGAGCCUGGGACACACCGCCUACAGCUUCAAACACAGCACCAAGUGUCAGAGUGGAGAGGAGAGGGCAGCCUGGACACACGAUAUCACUCAGCUCCUUUGGACCCACACCAUACACAACACAGAGACAAUGUGUAUUGGUCUGUCCAGUAAGAUACUGCUAGAUGUCACAGGAGCACCAGACACAUCUGAAAUGGCCUCUAUCUACAGUCUGAAUGACAGAGGUACAAAUGCACUCACACACACCUUAACGGACCAUAUGAUUACCUUAUGUGUAUUGUAUCUCUAUCCACAGUAAAACGAGAUACUUUACCUACACCAUAG